UUGCUCUUCAACGAGGAAUUCCUAGUAAGCGUGAGUCAUCAGCUCGCGUUGAUUACGUCCCUGCCCUUUGUACACACCGCCCGUCGCUACUACCGAUUGAAUGGCUUAGUGAGGUCUUGGGAUUGGCUUUGUGGAGCCGGCAACGGCACCGUAUCGCUGAAAACUUGAUCAAACUUGGUCAUUUAGAGGAAGUAAAAGUCGUAACAAGGUUUCCGUAGGUGAACCUGCGGGAGGAUCAUUAACGAGUUUACUGAGUUGUCGCUGCCCUUUCGGGGGAUGUGCACGCUCUUUCACUCAUCUAUACACCUGUGAACCUAUGCGAAUUCAAUGGGGGAUUAGCGAAAAGGAGGGACCGAAAGGUCUUUUCGAUUAGCGUUCUCUGUCGAGUUCGAUUUUUUAUAAACUCUUGUAUGUCUUAGAAUGUCUACUUUGCUUAACGCAAUAAAUACAACUUUCAACAACGGAUCUCUUGGCUCUCGCAUCGAUGAAGAACGCAGCGAAAUGCGAUAAGUAAUGUGAAUUGCAGAAUUCAGUGAAUCAUCGAAUCUUUGAACGCACCUUGCGCUCCCUGGUAUUCCGGGGAGCAUGCCUGUUUGAGUGUCAUGAAUCUCUCAACCUAUUAGAUUGCAAAAUCGAACUAGUGUUGGAUUUGGAGGCUUUGCUGGCCUAGUCAGCUCCUCUUAAAUGCAUUAGCUAUGGAUCGCGCAGCAAUUAGAUCUACGGUGUGAUACAUGUCUUACCAAUGGAUCGAAAGCUAUAAUCACCGCUUCGGCAGUGUGUACUUUGUUGUAUACCGUGUGAUGAGUGAAUACAAAGCUUCUAAUCGUCUGUAAAAGGACAAUACUUUUGACAUCUGACCUCAAAUCAGGUAGGACUACCCGCUGAACUUAAGCAUAUCAAUAAGCGGAGGA
rnacentral:rRNA from 1 species